GAUUGUGAAUUCAUGCAUAGAACCAGACCUGCUCUACACCUAAUGCCAAAAGAAGCCUGCAAAGUUCUCCUCUGCUACAAAGCAACACACAAAGCCCUCCUAGCCCAUCACCUGUUGCUCAAGGCAUGUAAGAGUAGAAACACACUUAGCCCCUAGAGCCCACACUGAGAAGCUGAGCACUGAGAAGGGACCAGGAUGUGAGGAGCCGCAGUAGUGGUCUUUGACCACUAUUUCUGCUGAGCAAAAACCAGAAAGCUUAUUCCUUUGUUCUAGAAAUCAGAAAACAAGGAGAAGCACUGCUUUAAUUACAUUUAGAGGUUUUUCCUAGGUACAGAGACAUGGUCAUGGAUCUUUCUGUAUAUAUAUAUUUUAUUUAUAUAUACACAUAUAUAUAUAUAUAUAUAUCUAUAUAUAUGUAUGUGUAUUAUAUUAUUGAAUACUAUAUAUUCAAAACAUUUUACAUCAUAGCCAUGGGAAAUGGCAUUCCCACAGCAGGGAAAUGCCAUGACAGAAAAUGCAAGGAGGAUCGUUCUGUAUGACUCACUCUAGCAGGGAGGCCUUGGGACCAAAGCACCACCACCAUUUUUUCCCCCAUUUUUCUCCUUCCACAGUAUUAGUCAGGAGGCGGGGCUGAGAUGGGGGGCACGGAAGUGACAGCUUUGACACACAGCUGAAACCAUCAGGGCCAGUGUGGCAUGUGGGACUGUUUUUCCACUGCAGCAGAACCAGGCAAGCCAGAGUGGUGACACUGAUCCCAAGUGAGUCCAGCCAAGCCAAGUGGAGCCCAGCAGGGUGGUAGGAAGAGGCAGCUAAGUGGCAGAUCCCAUUCCCACACACAUGCCCAGCGUGGCAGACUGAUGGCAGCGGCAGUGCCAAACAGAGCUCUGCAGGGACAGAGAGACACCCAUCACCAUCGCCACUGCCACCAUCCCUGCUGCAGAGAGGGAGCAGGAAACUGCCACUGCAGGUGCACAGCUCCUCCAGGCAGCACCAGCAGCCCCCAUCUACCAUCAGAACCAUUCUGUAAGCCCUCGCCAUCCUGUCUUUGUUCCAGGGGCCCCAUGUGACACUUCACCUUUGUUGCUUAAGCCAUUACUCCUUUUGCACUAUUUUCUUCUUAUUGUUGUGCACUGCUUUUUAUUUCCUCACUACAUUAUAACUCUAAUAGUUUUAACCUCUCAUUUAUUGUUUUCUCCAUUGACCCUUUCCAUUGUCAUGGAGAAGGAGAGAGAGGAGAGGCUUUACAAGGACUACCUCAAGAAGAGGACAUAGAAUGGAGGGAAGGCCUUAGAAAGAAUAAACAACCCUCAUGCUGCUGCUUUUGCAAGGAAUAAAUAUCCAAGUUUCUUAAUAUCCAGCCACAAAUCUGUGGAGUCUUGACAGCCAAGAAGCACAGGAACCUGGACACCUUGUUGUGAGAGACUAGAGGAGAUUGCUGGCUCAACACUUUUCAGGGGCUUGUAUGUGGGGAAGGGGCAGAUCAAGCCUUGCUCUGGUGAGGCCAUGCCCCACUCGGCACGCCCCACACCCCCAGGCCUGUAUCCCAGCCCAGCAGUGGCCACUGAUCCCUGGCACACCAGAGGCAAUGCUCCACACCUGUGUCUGGAGCCCCUAACCCAGCUCCUAAAUGGCCAGAGCAGUGUCCCUGGUAUGGCAGCAAGGCUGUUUGUUCCUGAAUUAGUCAACCAUCCUAGCAGGACCAUGUACCUAAUGACUACAAUAGCAAGUAUGGCUUUGAGUGCCAGAGGGGUAAGAGACCAAGAAAGAAAAGAGAGCCAUGUCUGCAGGAGUGUGCACCCUAAUGGCAGAGUGGCAAAACUAGCCUUUGUCCCCCAGAAAAGAAAAGAAGGCCAGAAGUUUCUCUCAAGGAUUAGGUGAAAAGCCACCUCAUGGGACCUCAGGGACUUCACCAAAUACUUGAGGACAUCUAAUUGGAUAGAAGCCAAAAAGUCCCGCUUGAUCCAUCAGGGAGAAAAAGAAGAGAAGAAAAGAGCUAAGUGCUUUUGUGAAGUGUUUUUACCAGGAGCAGACUGCUGCACCUGGCUCAAGUUUUUCUUUUUGUUAUUAUACCUUUUAUUAAACCUUUUUGUUUCUAACACUGCA